rnacentral:rRNA from 1 species
UACGGGGGGGGCAAGCGUUGUUCGGAAUUACUGGGCGUAAAGGGCUCGUAGGCGGCCAACUAAGUCAGACGUGAAGUCCCUCGGCUUAACCGGGGAACUGCGUCUGAUACUGGAUGGCUUGAGUUUGGGAGAGGGAUGCGGAAUUCCAGGUGUAGCGGUGAAAUGCGUAGAUAUCUGGAGGAACACCGGUGGCGAAGGCGGCAUCCUGGACCAACACUGACGCUGAGUGAGCGAAAGCCAGGGGAGCAAACGGG